rnacentral:rRNA from 1 species
AGGUGGUGCAUGGUUGUCGCCAGCUCGUGUCGUGAGAUGUUGGGUUAAGUCCCGCAACGAGCGCAACCCUACGUUAGUUGCUAACGCGUGAAGGCGAGCACUCUAGACGAACUGCCGUUGACAAAACGGAGGAAGGUGGGAUGACGUCAAAUCAUCAUGCCCCUUAUGUUCUGGGCUACACACGUGCUACAAUGGCCGGUACAGACGGACGCAAAGCCGCGAGGUGGAGCAAAUCCUAAAAAGCCGGUCUCAGUUCGGAUUGCAGGCUGCAAUUCGCCUGCAUGAAGUCGGAAUCGCUAGUAAUCGCAGGUCAGCAUACUGCGGUGAAUACGUUCCCGGGCCUU